rnacentral:telomerase_RNA from 1 species
AACAUUAGGGUCGGAUACGGAGCAACGGAGCUCGCAAAUUUUACUGUCCAAAAACAGUGUUGCGAGCUCACCCAAUAACCCAAUAUACUUAAAUGGGUUUUCUUAGCCAUUUGGGUUCUCCCAAUGAAUCAGGAAAUGGUCGACUUGCUCUAUCCGGCUGUUUUU